rnacentral:lncRNA from 1 species
GAGUAGCUGGGACUACAGGCGCCCGCCAUCACGCCCGGCUGCUUUUUUUGUUUUAGUAGAGAGGAGGUUUCACCGUGUUAGCCAGGAUGGUCUCAAUCUCCUGACCUCGUGAUCCGCCCGCCUCGGCCUCUCAAAGUGCUGGGAUUACACGCGUGAGCCACCGCGCCUGGCCUGAAGAAAGAAGUCAUUAAAGAAGCAACCCAUGGCAAAACUAGUUAUUUUCUUAAAACAGUAGGAAGAAGAAAAGCUUUUUGAAUGAAUCACUUCUCAUCUUCUCCGAAGUUGGAAGCAUCAAGAAUCUAAAUAAGCAUUUAUGAUGGCUGGCAUGAAUAUUUCUCUCCUUCAUCGUGCCUAUUUUAUGAACUUGAACAAGGAAGUUGCCACAACAUCUGUGGGCCAGAGAACUAUGCCAGAAUGUUAUUUCCAGAUUGCUUCCUGUAUUUACAAAGGCGGAAGAUAGAAUGGGAGUCCUAGUUGACCUUCAUAUAAUUUUUAGAAGAUGGAGCACUUCAACUUCUUCCACUCAUGAAAAGAGAGGUGACAGGUGAAGACAGAACAAGAAAACAAACCAAGAAUUUCCCCUCACCAGCCACCAGCUCUGCCAGCAACUUGAUCUUAGACUUCCCAGCCUCCGUAACGCCUCUGCUUAUAAUCUGUCAUGGAUUGGAAAACUAGAAAAAACAGUUUACAGAGUAUAACAAACUUUGGAGGAGUUAAUCGACUCUAAGUAAAAGAGUAUCUAGCACGGCUGUGGAACAAAGGAGAGACUCACAAACUGUUGAAAGAAUAAAUGAAUGAAUGAAUUCUGUUCAUGAGCUUUAAUAAAACAGCUCUGAGUAGUAACAGUGGAUCAAAUUUAGGCUUCUUGAUGCAGGCAUGGUGUAGAUUACUACUUCUGUAUUGUCCCAGGAGCUCAGCACAUUCCUGCAGAGAUGAUAGGAGCUCAUCUGAUACUUGUCAGCUUUGAAUAAACUCCAGUCCCCAAGAGAGAGAAUGAGAAUCACCGGAAUACGAAACUUCCCUGUUGGACUUCCCAACAUUCUUGAAUGCACCAAGAUAGCCUCUUGCUGUGAGAUUAAUAAAUGAAUAAAUGCCUCCAUAUUUUUCAAAUC